UAACAUAUCAAUAAGCGGAGGAAAAGAAACCAACAGGGAUUGCCCUAGUAACGGCGAGUGAAGCGGCAACAGCUCAAAUUUGAAAUCUGGCUCUUUCAGGGUCCGAGUUGUAAUUUGCAGAGGGUGCUUUGGCGUUGGCUGUGGUCUAAGUUCCUUGGAACAGGACGUCACAGAGGGUGAGAAUCCCGUACGUGGCCGCCAGCUUUCGCCGUGUAAAGCCCCUUCGAUGAGUCGAGUUGUUUGGGAAUGCAGCUCUAAAUGGGAGGUAAAUUUCUUCUAAAGCUAAAUAUUUGCCAGAGACCGAUAGCGCACAAGUAGAGUGAUCGAAAGAUGAAAAGCACUUUGGAAAGAGAGUCAAAAAGCACGUGAAAUUGUUGAAAGGGAAGCGCUUGCAGCUAGACGUGCCUUGGGUCGAUCAGCCGGACUUUUGCCCGGUGCACUCUUCCUUUGGCAGGCCAGCAUCAGUUUGGGCGGCUGGAUAAAGGUCUGUUAAACGUGACUUCCUUCGGGGAGAGCUUAUAGGGCAGACGACAUGCAGCCAGCUUGAACUGAGGUCCGCGCAUCUGCUAGGAUGCUGGCGUAAUAGCUGUAAGCGGCCCGUCUUGAAACACGGACCAAGGAGUCUAACAUCUAUGCGAGUGUUUGGGUGUCAAGCCCGAGCGCGCAAUGAAAGUAAACGGAGGUGGGAACCCUCGGGUGCACCAUCGACCGAUCCUGAUGUCUUCGGAUGGAUUUGAGUAAGAGCAUAGCUGUUGGGACCCGAAAGAUGGUGAACUAUGCCUGAAUAGGGUGAAGCCAGAGGAAACUCUGGUGGAGGCUCGCAGCGGUUCUGACGUGCAAAUCGAUCGUCAAA
rnacentral:rRNA from 1 species